rnacentral:ncRNA from 1 species
UUAAUUUGAUUCAAUACAGGAAAACUUACCUAAUUCAGACAUAGUAAAGUUUAACAGACUGAAUGCUCUUUCUUGAUUUUAUGGAUGAUAGUACACGGUUGUUUUUAGUUGGUGGAACGAUUUGUCCAAUGUGUUAAUGAAUAAGACCUCAACUUGUUAAAUAGUUACAUAUAAGUAAUAAUAUAUUAGCACAUUUACAUCCAUUUAACCCUUGAUAGCUAACUUUUUAGUGAAACUAUGACCACAUACUGUCAAAAUGUUUUUAACAAAUUUGUGUCAAAAUGUUUUUAACAAAUUUGUGUC